GCCUGAGCUAUCCCCCGGCGGUCCAGCCGUCAAGCUUGUGGUGUUUGUCGUGUUUACUGUGCAGGAUCAGGACGUCUUUCGUGAUUGGGACGUGGAGAAAGAUCUUGGCGUUAACAUUGACGCUAGAAGGAGGGCUGUUUUAGUGUCUUGAGUAUUUUUCAAUCAUAGAGUGUGUUUUAUUCUAUUCAUUUUUCAUGGGAAAGAGUAGAACACCUACACCCGAAGGACAGCCGAUGUCUGUCAGUGAGUCAUUACUGCGAGUAUCUGCCAAGGAUCGUUUGGG
rnacentral:lncRNA from 1 species